GAAGAACAUUUAACUCUGCCUUAAUUUUUGUUCGAGCAGAAAAAGAAAUAUCAUGAUUGAGGUGAAUAUUUAUCACUGGUGAAUCAAUCCAAAAGCACCACUGGUGAAUCGAUCCCAUCCAGCUUCUACAAGCGGAGAAUAUGGUGAUUGAGGUAGAGGUAUUAAUCUAUUUAAGCAACAUUUAGCUGGAGCGAAAAGACAAGUGGAACAAUGUCGCAAAUGUCCUCCAGAUAUUUGUCAUCAAAUGCUUUUGAAUCUUCAGCAAAGAAGGUUGAUGAAUUGAAGAUUUUUGUUGAAAUUUUCAAGAAAUUUGGAAGAAGACUGGUUGCACAUUGAUGGCUGAUGGAUGGACAGAUCAAAAAAG